rnacentral:rRNA from 1 species
AGCGAACGUUAGCGGCGGGCCUAACACAUGCAAGUCGAGCGAGAAAAGGGCUUCGGCCCUGAGUAAAGCGGCGGACGGGUGAGUAACACGUAGGUAAUCUUCCCUUGAGCGGGGGACAACGAGCCGAAAGGCUCGCUAAUACCGCAUAAGUUUCUCGGGACUCCGGUCCUGGGAAGGAAAGCUAGGUAGCAAUAUCCGGCACUCGAGGAGGAGCCUGCGUCGCAUCAGCUAGUUGGUGGGGUAACGGCCUACCAAGGCGAAGACGCGUAGCUGGUCUGAGAGGAUGAUCAGCCACACUGAAACUGAGACACGGUUCAGACUCCUACGGGAGGCAGCAGCGGGGAAUAUUGGACAAUGGGCGCAAGCCUGAUCCAGCCACGCCGCGUGAGUGAUGAAGGCCUUCGGGUCGUAAAGCUCUGUGGGGAGGGACGAACCGCCGUUGGUGCAUAGCCAACGGCAUGACGGUACCUCCUUAGCAAGCACCGGCUAACUUCGUGCCAGCCGCCGCCGUAAGAC